CGGCGAACGGGUGAGUAACACGUAGGUGAUCUGCCCAUCAGACGGGGACAACGAUUGGAAACGAUCGCUAAUACCGGAUAGGACGAAAGUUUAAAGGUGCUUCUGGCACCGCUGAUGGAUGAGCCUGCGGCGCAUUAGCUAGUUGGUAGGGUAAAGGCCUACCAAGGCGACGAUCCCUAGCUGGUCUGAGAGGAUGACCAGCCACACUGGAACUGAGACACGGUCCAGACUCCUACGGGAGGCAGCAUG
rnacentral:rRNA from 1 species